AUUGAACGCUGGCGGCAGGCCUAACACAUGCAAGUCGAGCGGAUGAAGGGAGCUUGCUCCUGGAUUCAGCGGCGGACGGGUGAGUAAUGCCUAGGAAUCUGCCUGGUAGUGGGGGAUAACGUCCGGUAACGGGCGCUAAUACCGCAUACGUCCUGAGGGAGAAAGUGGGGGAUCUUCGGACCUCACGCUAUCAGAUGAGCCUAGGUCGGAUUAGCUAGUUGGUGGGGUAAAGGCCUACCAAGGCGACGAUCCGUAACUGGUCUGAGAGGAUGAUCAGUCACACUGGAACUGAGACACGGUCCAGACUCCUGCGGGAGGCAGCAGUGGGGAAUAUUGGACAAUGGGCGAAAGCCUGAUCCAGCCAUGCCGCGUGUGUGAAGAAGGUCUUCGGAUUGUAAAGCACUUUAAGUUGGGAGGAAGGGCAGUAAGUUAAUACCUUGCUGUUUUGACGUUACCAACAGAAUAAGCACCGGCUAACUUCGUG
rnacentral:rRNA from 1 species